rnacentral:rRNA from 1 species
UACGUAGGGGCCUAGCGUUGUCCGGAUUUAUUGGGCGUAAAGAGCUCGUAGGCGGUUCGGCAAGUCGGAUGUGAAAAUCUCCACGCUUAACGUGGAGGGGGCCAUUCGAAAACUGCCGUGACUCGAGUCCGGUAGGGGAGUGUGGAAUUCCCGGUGUAGCGGUGAAAUGCGCAGAUAUCGGGAGGAACACCAGUGGCGAAGGCGACUUCCUGGCCUGUUCUUGACGCUGAGGCGCGAAAAGCUAGGGGGAGCAAAACGGGG